AGAGUUUGAUCCUGGCUCAGGACGAACGCUGGCGGCGCGCCUAACACAUGCAAGUCGAACGAGCGAGAGGAGGUUUACUUUCUCAAGCGAGUGGCGAACGGGUGAGUAACGCGUGAGGAACCUGCCUCAAAGAGGGGGACAACAGUUGGAAACGACUGCUAAUACCGCAUAAGCCCACGACCCGGCAUCGGGUAGAGGGAAAAGGAGCAAUCCGCUUUGAGAUGGCCUCGCGUCCGAUUAGCUAGUUGGUGAGGUAAUGGCCCACCAAGGCGACGAUCGGUAGCCGGACUGAGAGGUUGAACGGCCACAUUGGGACUGAGACACGGCCCAGACUCCUACGGGAGGCAGCAGUGGGGAAUAUUGCACAAUGGGGGAAACCCUGAUGCAGCGACGCCGCGUGGAGGAAGAAGGUCUUCGGAUUGUAAACUCCUGUUGUUGAGGAAGAUAAUGACGGUACUCAACAAGGAAGUGACGGCUAACUACGUGCCAGCAGCCGCGGUAAAACGUAGGUCACAAGCGUUGUCCGGAAUUACUGGGUGUAAAGGGAGCGCAGGCGGGAAGGCAAGUUGGAAGUGAAAUCCAUGGGCUCAACCCAUGAACUGCUUUCAAAACUGUUUUUCUUGAGUAGUGCAGAGGUAGGCGGAAUUCCCGGUGUAGCGGUGGAAUGCGUAGAUAUCGGGAGGAACACCAGUGGCGAAGGCGGCCUACUGGGCACCAACUGACGCUGAGGCUCGAAAGUGUGGGUAGCAAACAGGAUUAGAUACCCUGGUAGUCCACACUGUAAACG
rnacentral:rRNA from 1 species